AACGAACGCUGGCGGCAUGCCUAACACAUGCAAGUCGAACGAGACCUUCGGGUCUAGUGGCGCACGGGUGCGUAACGCGUGGGAACCUGCCCUUAGGUUCGGAAUAACUCCCCGGAAGGGGUGCUAAUACCGGAUAAUGUCUUCGGACCAAAGAUUUAUCGCCUUUGGAUGGGCCCGCGUUGGAUUAGCUAGUUGGUAGGGUAAAAGCCUACCAAGGCGACGAUCCAUAGCUGGUCUGAGAGGAUGAUCAGCCACACUGGGACUGAGACACGGCCCAGACUCCUACGGGAGGCAGCAGUGGGGAAUAUCGGACAAUGGGCGAAAGCCUGAUCCAGCAAUGCCGCGUGAGUGAUGAAGGCCUUAGGGUUGUAAAGCUCUUUUACCCGGGAUGAUAAUGACAGUACCGGGAGAAUAAGCUCCGGCUAACUCCGAG
rnacentral:rRNA from 1 species